UACGGGGGGGGGCAAGCGUUGUUCGGAAUUACUGGGCGUAAAGGGCUCGUAGGCGGCCAACUAAGUCAUACGUGAAAUCCCUCAGCUUAACUGGGGAACUGCGUGUGAUACUGGAUGGCUUGGAUUCGGGAGAGGAAUGCGGAAUUCCAGGUGUAGCGGUGAAAUGCGUAGAUAUCUGGAGGAACACCGGUGGCGAAGGCGGCAUCCUGGACCGGUAUUGACGCUGAGGCGCGAAAGCCAGGGGAGCAAAGCGGG
rnacentral:rRNA from 1 species